AUGAAUGCAUCCCCUGUCGGGUUAGCUGUGUGUGUGUGUGUGUACACAAUCCCUCUCUCUGUUGAUUCCUCUUUCUCUGCCAGUCUCCAGAGGAAGAGCCACACUGCAAUGCCUCAUGGGAGGUGGUCCAUAGUGAGCAACGGCCAGAUGAGUGCCCUAACAGACAAACACAGUUCCGCUUUUGGCCCCUGGGGGCCGUGUGGGUACUAAAGACUCUGAGGAGCCCAGUGUUCCUGGUCGUCCUGCUGGCUGUGUUCCUAGCCCUGCUGGUCUUGCCUAUAGCACUCCUCAUGGACCCAGAGUGCCACCGCUCCAACUCCCUGGCUCUCUCCUUCCAACUGGCCCUGAGCUACGUCAACGGGCCCCCGCCAACCCGAGGGACAAAAGUGUCACAGAGGGAGCACAACACACCCCUGGUGAGCCUGGAACACACCUGAUUCAGGGGUCGGACAGUCCCAGAAUGCCUUUGCAUUUCAGAGCCUUGCGUAAUGCAUUAACAAGGAGGCCGUAUGAGAAAAACGAGAAAUUAAGAACUGUUUGGCCCAAUCAAAAUGUGGGCUUGGUAUUUAUCUGAAUCCCUCCACCAACCUGCUGGCAGAAGUGGCCCAUGACUUAAUGGGCCUGAUUUGUAAUGAUCUCUAAUGGCAUUCAUAAUGUGUCUUACUAUGCCAGAGUAGCACUUUUGUUGAUUGGUCUGUCAUGAUGGUUUUGUAACUUUAUUUAUGUGGGUGAUUUAGAAUCUAUAUGGAAGACUUAAUAACGGCAAAUGCUUUGAGCAUUUCUCUUUGGGCAUUUGAUGAGACAAAGUACACAUUUAUCUGCAUAUCAAUAUUUAUUAUGUCAAACCUAAAGAGAGCUUUCGAAUUUAUCCGGUUCUAUCUGCAUUUUUGUCAAAAUUGAGUUAUUGACAUAGCCUUGUUCUGUUCAAUGUUCUCUACCUAUACAGUACUUUAAAUACCCCAAUUUAUGUUAAGUUCAAAAGAGUGCAAGAUAACAUUGCUAACGCCAUUCAAACCAAUGCAGGUUCAGGAACUUUUAAAGCCAAUUAUCUCAGAAUUAUAUUUUAACAAAUAGAUCAUUAUAGUCCCAAGCUCUCGAUUUCUCAUGGGAUUUCUGCAAAUGAAUGAUACUGAAUGCCCGAGUUCGGAUUUACUAGGGAGACGUGCGGAAAUACCCCAUGUGUAAGUAAUUUGUAGGUCAAUGGGAUAGGUGACCUGGCUAAUGCACUUACAGUAGGAUAAAUUAGCAGUCAUUUUGUACUGCUGCAUGUGUGUGAUCUUGUUUGCGUGUGUGAGGGUUGUUAGUAUAUACUCAAUAAAUGUAUUUUACAUCUGUUGCGAUGCCAACAGGGUCCAGCUGGGAAACAAUCAGCCAAAAGCCAAUGCAUCUGAGGCCAGUGAAGACAGUGUAAGCCUCUAAACAUAAUGUAUGUGUUAUGUAAUGGUUUAUGGUCCGUGCUUCUGUUUUGACACAGUGGAUGCAAUCCUGGGUCUCAUCUAUACAACGUCACAAAUGUAAUGUCAAAGUCUGAGAAGUGAAAAAAAAAAAGAAAGUCAAAUACAUUUCUAC
ensembl:lncRNA